ACAGAAAAUUCACGACGCCUUCGAGCAGCCGUCCUCCGCCACAACUUCGCCAUGGGCGCGCCCUAGCCCCGUCCUUAUUAUCCCUGUCUAUGGCUUCUUCUGCCGCAGCCGCUGCCGCUGACGCCGCCGCGCUGCCCCUCCCAUGGCUCUCCUCGCGCUCCGUCUCGGGCCGCUUCUCCCAGCCCCGCCACAACGCCGCCGGAUCCUCCGCAGCCGGUGCCGGGGCCGGAUCGUCGCCUCCAAUGCCACCACGCCCGUGGGGGACGGGGGCGCGGCCGCGGCCGCGGUGGUGUGGUUCAAGCAUGACCUCCGCAUCGACGACCACCCGGGGCUCUCCGCCGCCGUCGCGGACCCGCGGCGCCCUAUCGUGCCGCUCUACGUCUUCGACCGGCGCAUCCUCGCAGGUUAUUCAGAUAAAAUGCUGGAACUGCUGCUAUUUGCUCUGAAAGAUCUUAAGAUGGCGUUGAAGUCUCAAGAGUCUGAUCUGCUCAUAGGCUUGGGAAAUGCUGAAGAUGUUUUGCUGAAGAUUGUGAAUGAGGUGCAAGCAGGUCUUAUUUUUACAGAAGAGGAAGUUGAAUAUAGAGUGUGCAAUGUUCUGGCCAAUGUUGAAUCAUCUUUAUCUAAUGGGUCAUUCUCAUGGGGAAGCCCUCCCAAGAUAGUGGCUUGGAGUGCCCCAUUGUAUGACUAUAAGAAUUUGGAAGAAGUAUCGACGUCACACGACCAAUUUUUAAAGACAAAACUACCAAUGGCCACACCUCUUGCUGCUACAGCUUUGCCUGCUCUAAAUUUGGAGUUAGACACAGGUUUUCUACCCACUCUGGAAGAAUUAAAAGGUUUCCUGAAAGACAGUAGAACACCGGAGGAUACUUGGUUCCCUCUCAAGAACAUGUCUGCAAGAUCUAUUCUAAAAAGGACUGUCAGUCAAAGAAUGAUCAAAACUAACACUACAUUAAGCACCAGCAGCAAUGACGAAAACAUAGAGGAUAUCCCCAUGGAUUCUGGUGCAUCAGGAAGGAGAAUUAUGAAUUCAAUGUUUGCAUCUGAAAACUCACUUGAAGUUAGGGGUGGAACAGAUAUUACUUUGGAUGCCUUGGCUGCUUACCUAAGAUACCUCGAAGGAACAGGAAAUGCUAGUUGGCAAGAGUUGCAUGAUAAAGUGCGCUUAGCUGAAACCAGAGAUGGUGCCUCAUUCUACACCUUGUUUGGGCCUGCAAUUCAGCUUGGAGUCAUAUCCAGGAGGAAAGCCUACAAUGAUACUAUUCAAUACGAGAAAGAUCGCAAUGCUGGUUUUCUAUCACCAUUUGGGUACUCAACAGCUACAGUGAAAGCAGCAGUAGAUGCUAUAUGUUCGAUGGAGUGGUAUUGGCUCUUGGCGUCGAAAUCCCAAGUAUCUGUCGAGGGAAAUUGUCCUAUAAGAAUUUGGAGAUGGAAGGGUUAUCUUGUACAGUACACUUUUGUUGGCAACGAAGGUCCAGCUGUUCUUCUUGUGCAUGGUUUUGGAGCUUUCCUGGAGCAUUUUCGUGACAAUAUAGAUAACAUUGCUGAUAUGGGCCACCGAGUUUGGGCAAUUACUCUUGUUGGGUUUGGGAAAUCAGAGAAACCAAAUGUCAACUAUUCAGAACUUUUCUGGUCAGAGUUUCUGAGAGACUUUAUUAUUGAUGUUGUGAGGGAACCUGUUCAUCUUGUUGGCAACUCUAUUGGAGGCUAUAUCUGUGCCAUUGCUGCUGGUUUAUGGCCUUCUCUUGCUAUGUCUCUGGUUCUUUUAAACUCAGCUGGUUCGGUUGUUCCAAAUUACUCCUUCGUCCCAUUGAGUGAAGAAAGACGAACAUCUUGGCUUUCCAAGUUGCAGGCACAACUUCUUUUGCUCUUCUUGAGAUCAAGACUAGAAGGCAUUCUUAAAGAAUAUUAUCCUACUAGAACGGGACGGGUGGACAAGCCACUUGUGGACCAGAUUAUUAGAGCUUCUUAUGAUCCUGGUGCUGUAACAGUUCUUGAGAGUGUAUUCAGCUUCAAUCUUUCAAUUCCUCUUAACUUUUUAUUUGAUUCUUUUGGAGGAAAAAUAUUAGUUAUCCAGGGUAUGAAAGACCCCCUUACAAAAUCUGAGGCGUUUGUUACCAUGCUCCGAGAGCAUUGCAGCAAGGUUCAAAUCAGAGAGUUGAAUGCAGGUCAUGCUCCACAUGAUGAAGUUCCAGAUGAAGUAAAUACCCUACUGUGUGAAUGGAUGAAACAGAUUGAAGUUAAACCAGCCCCGGAGAAGGCCAAGGCAAUAUAGGUAACAUUUAGAAUUGUGGACACUAUACAUUGGCUGAUUGUUUAACAUGAUAUUUGGAAGCACUUUGUAACAUCUUUUAUCAGUGUGCUGCCAGCAAUUCUUUAAGUCUUGUCUGAUUAAGUAUUGUGAGUUGUUAACCCUGUACAAAAUUAUGUACACCACUUUUGGCUUUUAAGCUUCAUCCUUCAUGCCAUCUUCUGGCAGCUGAUAUUGAGAUGAAACAUACAUGAGAUCAGAAGAAGAAAUAAAAAGCAUCUGUGCAUGUUCUGGGUAAGUAAGGAGACAUGGUAUGCAAUUUACAGUUGCUGAGAACUUACUGUGAUUCCUACUUAGGGCUUGUUUGGAUUAAUGACUAGAGCCGAUCUCUAUUGAUUGGGAAGUUUUUUUUUUUUGAAAGCUAUACGACGUGUGAAGCCUGCCUGUAUUGGGAAGGUAUAUUGGGUAUGGUCCCCUUAAUAGUUAUUCUUUUUGACCCCAUUGUGUAACUAAUGUUUAAUUAUGUUACUCCUGUAUGACUGUACUUGUAUUCUAUCUACUCCACUUGUUUCAUUGGGACUGUAGCGGCACAAUUAAUUGUUGUUUCAUGCCAAUUUGUGCUUUCUCUGUCCUUUAUGUGCAAAUUUCUCAGAGAAGCCAACUGUAAUCACCUCAUUGAGCUAUUCUCCUGCAACUGCAAGGUUAGUUGUUGGAUUUCUAUUGGAGGAUUUGAACUAGCUCCGUUAAUACUCCUUUACUAUAGUACUGAAUAAGAUGGAAGCCCUAACCCUUCAGAGCUUGAUCUGGGUUCAAAUUUCAAACCUGGGAUCAAAGCUGGAUGCCUGUGUCUGCAGACUUUGAGCAAAGCUUCUGCAUCAGCACAUGCCAUAUGCUUGAUGCAAAAUAUUACAUGGCGACAAAUAGUGAAUCUUUCUCGGCACUGGAGCUGGCUUUCAUCAUCCUGAGUAUGCAUUACAUCAGUUCGGCAGCUUCAGCACCAUUCAAUGCCCUCUACCAAUCACCGGUGCUUCCACCCUUUCGCAAGGUCAUGAGACGGCACUGUCACUUUGGUCGCCUUCUCCCAGCAAAAAGAACCCGAGCAUUACCACUCCCGGACAGCGACUCAGCCCCACUGCUCUCCCGAGUGAUAUCACCUCAUGACAGCCCCGCAUCACGCGUGUCGUCACUGUUUUUUUAGCCCCCCUUUGGCUUUGCUGCCCAGUAUUCAGUGCCUUCUCUGGAGCAUCGGCAGUGCUUCCACCAGUCACGAGCCCUGAAAUGAUUAUUUGCUGCCUCAUUUCGCAAUGCUUUAUUUGGUGGCCAUCUCAAAAAUCUUUGGGCAAGCACAGGGACCCCAUCAACGAGGCCAUAAAACAAACCUCUGAUUGGGAUCACUCAACCAACCUACCUUAUCUAUUCAGCAAACUUUCACCAGGGCCCUUGUCCUGGUUUUCACCAAACCUGACAGCUACGCGCACUGUCCAUCCCAUGGCCUCUACAAAGGAUGUCAAGUUGCAGGUAACCACGUCAUCUCGACGAGGCUACUGACCUCUUCUUCUUCGCUCUAAUGAUAGGCCUUGAUAGUCGCCUGCACCCGUCCAUGGCCACUACUUGGAGGCCAGUAGGCCCAGUACCACUUCUACUACUGCCUCCCCGGUCUUGCUCGCUCUACAAGGCCCUGGUACAAGCCUCCUCGUAUAAUUGUUAAUGAUUCUGUUGCUGUCUCCCGUGUCCCGUUGGUCCGAUCCCCGGGGGUGUUACAAGCUAUUGCUCGUGCGCCACCAGCUGCUGCGCCCUUGCUGUCCGCUUCAAGCCGAGUGCGCCCUCGUGUAGUCGUGUUGCUGGAUUUCUUGGCGAGUUCUUACGCUAGCGCCUCGGGUAUCGACGUGUGUUGGCGCAGAUUGGGCGACAGAAUCCGGGCAAAUGUGCUGCCGGAUGGUGAAACUUCUGGAGCUCUUCCGCAAUACGCCUACACUACAGAAGUAGGGCAACCCUUAUUAUUAAAAAAAAGAAAAAAAGGAGGAGAAAAAACAACGAGGCUGAUGUUUCAGAAUUCAGACAGGAACUACAAGUCUCCAGUUAGAACGCGGAUUUUUUCGCAUAUUCCAUGGGGUCAAAAAAAUUUAUAUGGAAGCUGUACAUCCCAAAUAAUUUGUAUAUAGGUACAACUGUACGAGUACUCGUAGCUGCUCUGUCGGGUAGCUACUUGGCUUGUGCAAAAGAUACAGGUAAGUAGGUAGGUCGAAGAUUAGUAUCUCAUAUUGUGUGAUGUGGUUUUGUUUAGUGUCACUUAUUAUAAGAGGUUAAAAGGAAUGUCGCUUGCGAAGUUGGUAUA